rnacentral:misc_RNA from 1 species
GUCCGCUCCCGCCCCUCCUCCGCCGCCAUCCCGCCCAUCCACCACCGCACCGAACGCAUACGCUUUUUUUUUGGUGUGUGUGUGUGUGUGUGUGUGUGUUUGUGUGCUCAACCACAUUUGCUCGGCUUUUUUUUUAUUUGCUCAUCGCCACGCAGCCUCUAACAGGCGCACGAUUGAGGUACCAUGACCGUUCUGCCACCCAAGAUAAACGUCCCGGCGACGCCGGCGCUGGACGGAGUCGACAUUAACUCUCUCUACGACGUCAAUCACGGCAAGCUCCUUGGCAAAGGUGGCUUCUCCGAGGUGCUGGCGGUGCGCCACAUUCCUAGCGGCGAGAUACGCGCCUUGAAGGUGAUGAUGCGCUCGUCGCUGGUUGGAAAGAAGGCUGAAAUGGUGGCGCACGAGAAGGAGAUUCUGCGCCGCACUUGCCACCCCGCCAUCAUCACGCUGCAUGAGGCGGUGCAGACCCCUGACAAGGUGUACUUCGCCCUCGACCUCAUGAACGAAGAUUUGUUUGAAUUUAUUGUGCGCAACAAAACCGUCAACGAGGACCUCUCGCGCGCCAUAAUGCACCAGCUAAUGUCUGGUAUUGCCUACCUGCAUGAGCAGAGCAUUGUGCACCGUGACAUUAAGCCAGAGAACAUCCUCAUCAACGUCGUCGUCAAGAGUGAGGCCAACAACGCAGCCAACGACGACUCCGAGUCGGCGACGCGGGUGGAGGGGCUCCAGGUGAUGUCCGACAUCAACAGCAUCCCGCUGGAGAAGCUGAAUGUGGAGGUGAAAAUCGCGGACUUUGGUCUUGCCAAAGUUGUCAUGGAGUGGGACGUCUGCAGUACGCCGUGUGGCACAUCCUUUUACAUUGCGCCUGAGGUGAUCCGCGGCAUUGAAGAGCAAGGUGCCAAGCCGCUCUGCACCAACCAGCGACUUGUCAAGAGCGUGGAUGUGUGGUCUGCCGGCGUAGUCUUCUACGUGCUUCUCUGCGGCCGGCCGCCGUUCCAUGGUCAGGUGCGCACCGGGCAGGACCGCCGCGACCUCCUCCGCAGGAUUGACCACGGUGUCCUCUUCAACCCAAAUCACGGCUGGGAUUCCAUCUCCGCAGAGGCGAAGAACCUGAUUCUGAAGAUGCUUGACCAAGAGUCCUCAAAGCGGAUCACCUCUGAUGAGGUUCUGCGGCAUCCCUUCUUCACUGCCCACGGCUAUUCGAGGCCCGUACCGGCGUCAGACGCACGCCGUCGCUUUAUGCAGAUGCAGCAGCUCUCUCUGAGGACCAAAGUCCCCGCUGCGCAGUCGGCCGAGGCCCAAGUCAAGACCAUGUCACCCUUAUCCGGCCCGGAUGGGCAGCAGAUCAAGGUCUCCUCGUCUGGUGGGGGGUCCUCCAGCAAGGGCAGCAGCAACAGCACGGGGAGCUUCCUUUCGAGCAUCAAGGACUUCUUCGGCCACCGCUCAAAGCACACGUCGGACAUCUCGAAAGAGGAGCGGCAGCGCAUGCAUGCCGAGUUGGCAGAGCUGCAGGCAACCGUGAUCGCCGAGGAAGACCAGGAGGGGGAUGUAACCUCCUACAAGCCCUCGAUGCCGGUGAAGGAGGCGAAGCCCGCGCGCACAGCCGUGAUGAACAUGAAGGCAAAGGUGGGUCCCGACGCUUUGCGCAAGUGAUAGCCGGACCCCUUUUUCCCGUCUCCGCGUCCCUUUUUCGUCGUCACGCUGUUCGGGUUUCUCUCGGACCUCUUUCCCUCACCGCCAUUCAGCAAGCGGAUCGCAGUACUCCGGCUGUGCUUACAUGCUGUCGCUUGUGCAGAGGAGAAGGGUUGUAGACCCAAUGAUCAACUUAUACCGCCUUACACCCCGUCACAACUGGCGCACACACACACGCACGCACGCACACAGCGCAGCUUGAAAAGGCAGACAGAUGCUUGCAGGGGUCGCGGUGCGCGUGGGCUUUUCUGUGCUACUCACCGAUGAAGAAAAAAAGGUAAAAUUGCGGCGAUUUAAAUCACACAUCAUGUUGUUGUUAUCAACAUCACCCGUAACCCCACCACCACCACCACACUUUCUCCCUCCGGUCUUUUGUGUGUCUUUGUUGUACUUUGGAUCCUGUGCGUGUUCGGUCCUCCAUCAUUAUGCCGCUGUACACCUUUUUUUUUUUUCGUUUUGCACUGGCUCUCGUGUCUCCCUGAAUCCUCGCUCACUCUCCCUGUGUUUUUCUGUCGUAUGCUCACACGCGGAAAAGCACGCACAUGUGCUGUAGUGCCGAGAAGUGAGAGUGGUGACGCGUGAAGGCCCUCACCAUCUUUCCCUUACACACAAAUCGUCGAUGGCGCCGAGGGCAGAGGGUCGGUGCAACAGAAGUGAAAAGUGGCGACAGACGCAAACGUGCUUGCGUUGCAUCGAUGUGCAUGUACGCUGGACAGCACGUCCACACCUUUCGCUGAAUCGCCCUGGUCCCUGUCUCGCAUAUUUCUAUCCUUCUCGCAUCUCCUACGGCUCCCAUCCCCCUCAACCUCCCAUGUGGCACCGCAUCAAUGAAACGCUCUGCAGCAAGGGAGCGACGCGCUGCUCCUGUUUCCAAUCAGCGUUUUCCCUCCUCCAUAUAUCCGUAUGCGUGUGGCUGUGGUGGUGGUUGGGGAGAGGGGGGGCGGUUACGUAGGAGUGCUCGUUGUGCAAGUCGCUGCCUGCCUGCUCCGCUCCGGUAGCGGUAAUCCUCUCUGUGCGCUUUGCCUUCUAUAUAUAAGUAUUAUUUCGGUUCGUGCUUCCUUUGCUCUGCGUCUCUGACUUUCCACGUACAAACUAUGCGUAGCUCAUCACGCGCAUCUUCCCGUGUCUCGAUGAUUUCCUCGUUGUGUGGAGUUGUCAUAUCUUUGUUUGCUUCCUUUUAUUUUCGCCGUCGCCGUCUUUUUUGUUCUUUUGUUUCGCUCGCUCGUGUUCUCGCAUCCUUCAACCGCCACCACCCCCUCCACGCUCCCUUUUACUGUUGUCAUCACUAUUUACUCCGGUCCGUCAGUCAGUGACUCUCGCGCAAAACCAGAUGAAAUUCGCAAAGAGACAGAGACAGACGCACGCCGCGCAAACGUCAGUAAACCGGAAAAGAAGCGCGUGUGUCGGUAUCUCUGCGCUGUGGCCUGUGUGCUUCGACUCCCUCUCCCCUGCAGCAAAAGAAAGGAAAAAGGGAAAAGAUGCAUUCAUCGCUGCAACCGCCAAGGGCUUUGCUUGCAACACUUAUGGCACGCAGCAAGCGCUUUUUUUCUUUUUUGCGAACGGUCACCUCUGCCCGUGCUACAGGAGUCCAACGUCAUUCUAUCCCCAGCCCUGCGACAGGGUCCAUCGCUUGGCGCAAAGCAGUGGUAAACACGCCUUGCAGCAAAAUGCCGACCCAGUCACCUGAGCACGACCUCACCAUC